rnacentral:rRNA from 1 species
GAUGAACGCUGGCGGCGUGCCUAAUACAUGCAAGUCGAGCGAACAGACGAGGAGCUUGCUCCUCUGACGUUAGCGGCGGACGGGUGAGUAACACGUGGAUAACCUACCUAUAAGACUGGGAUAACUUCGGGAAACCGGAGCUAAUACCGGAUAAUAUAUUGAACCGCAUGGUUCAAUAGUGAAAGACGGUUUUGCUGUCACUUAUAGAUGGAUCCGCGCCGCAUUAGCUAGUUGGUAAGGUAACGGCUUACCAAGGCAACGAUGCGUAGCCGACCUGAGAGGGUGAUCGGCCACACUGGAACUGAGACACGGUCCAGACUCCUACGGGAGGCAGCAGUAGGGAAUCUUCCGCAAUAGGCGAAAGCCUGACGGAGCAACGCCGCGUGAGUGAUGAAGGUCUUCGGAUCGUAAAACUCUGUUAUUAGGGAAGAACAAAUGUGUAAGUAACUGUGCACGUCUUGACGGUACCUAAUCAGAAAGCCACGGCUAACUACGUG